rnacentral:rRNA from 1 species
UGAGCAACCUGCCCUUAACUCUGGGAUAAGCCUGGGAAACUGGGUCUAAUACCGGAUAUGACUCCUCAUCGCAUGGUGGGGGGUGGAAAGCUUUAUUGUGGUUUUGAAUGGACUCGCGGCCUACCAGCUUGUUGGUGAGGUAAUGGCUCACCAAGGCGACGACGGGUAGCCGGCCUGAGAGGGUGACCGGCCACACUGGGACUGAGACACGGCCCAGACUCCUACGGGAGCAG